rnacentral:rRNA from 1 species
CACGUAGGGUGCGAGCGUUGUCCGGAAUUAUUGGGCGUAAAGAGCUCGUAGGCGGUGUGUCGCGUCGGCCGUGAAAACCUGCAGCUUAACUGUGGGCUUGCGGUCGAUACGGGCAUCACUGGAGUUCGGCAGGGGAGACUGGAAUUCCUGGUGUAGCGGUGGAAUGCGCAGAUAUCUGGAGGAACACCGGUGGCGAAGGCGGCAUCCUGGACCAACACUGACACUGAGGAGCGAAAGCCAGGGAGCAAACGGG